CAGUCGCCACGGUAAUACGAGGGGGGCAAGCGUUGUUCGGAAUUAUUGGGCGUAAAGGGCGCGUAGGCGGUUUGGCAAGUUUGGUGUGAAAUCUUCGGGCUCAACUCGAAGUCUGCAUCGAAAACUGCCGGGCUUGAGUAUGGGAGAGGUGAGUGGAAUUUCCGGUGUAGCGGUGAAAUGCGUAGAUAUCGGAAGGAACACCUGUGGCGAAAGCGGCUCACUGGACCAUUACUGACGCUGAGGCGCGAAAGCUAGGGGAGCAAACAGGAUUAGAUACCCCUGUAGUCCCUGUCUCUUAUAA
rnacentral:rRNA from 1 species